CCCUGACCAGACCACAACACCUUGCAGUUGACGAUGCUUCGGUCUUGCAAGCUCCGCAUGUUUUAUCAUUCAGACUCCGAUUUUGCGCCACGAGUACUGAGCAUCAUGUAGAGAACGGCCUUACAACUGAGCACUGAGUGGGCGAACGAAAUGUUACGUAGGGUAUUACGCUUAUGUUAGCAGGACAAGCACCAGAGCAGAGUACACUGGGCAUGCUAAUCUUCCAGGAUAUGGCACAAAAGGAGGAAAAUAUCCACGUGCAAGACCUCCGGUGUGUGGAUCGUGCAGCAGCUUAUAACAGAAGGUAAUGACAAGUGUGGAUACCAUAGCUACACGUAAGAGAGGACAAAGCUCUUGUGGCUAGGAGAGAGUGGACCUAGCAGCGAAGAGGCGGGGCCAGGAGCUGUGAAUCGACGCCUGCAGCCACAUAUGGUUACAGAUGACGAACGUUCAUCAGGAGGAGGAAGUGGUGGAGAGUAUGUCGUGUGUGGUGUGUGAAGAGCCCUUUGACCCUGAGGUGCACCAGCCCGUGGCCCUCCCUACCUGUGGCCACACUUUCUGCAGGAUGUGUCUCGUCAACCUCCAAGAACGCAACCCUACUCUCGUCUGUCCCACCUGCAGGCAACCACAUGCAGGAGAGGAUGCAUCAUGUCUGCCCACCAACUUUUUAGUGUUGAAUCUCCUGCCAGACAUUUCAGAGAGAGAUGAUGCUAUACUUCAGAGUAAACUUCCUGACAGUCAUGCUGACAAGAUGAAGGAGAAAAAGGAUGAUGUAUUUAAGAAGGAUGACAAGUGUCUUGCUUCAUUGGAUGACAACCAUUUAGAUUGUAAUGAGAAAGUGAAUGAGAGCAGAAGCAGACCAGAUGAAGCAUGCUCUAGUAGAGAAGAUAACCAGGAGAACAGCCUGAAGGAAGACUAUAACGAUAGACAGAAGAAGCAAGAGGGGAGACAAGAUAAUGUAUCUGAGGAUUGCCAUUCCCAAAUUUGUCACUCAUCAAGAAGUGGCAGGGAACCAAACCAGUAUAUCUGGUACAAGGACUGGAGAAUUUGGGUGCUAUUUGUUGUGUUUAUUAUAAUUAUGGCAUCUGUUGCAAUUGGAGUGGCUCUUGGAUGUGCUCCUAACAUCCUUAAUCAAAUGGGGUUCACAUCUACUGGAGUUGCUAGGAAAAGCUAUGCUUCCACAUUAAUGUCCUCCGCUGCCCGCAGUAACAAUGGAACCAUCCCUGCAGAUAGCUGGGUCUCAUGGCUACAGAAUGCUGGUCACAAGGGUUUUAGUUCCAAGGCUAAGGCUCUCAUAGCAUUGGUUAGUGGACUGGUUGGAGCUGGGGUUGCAGCUGUGUUGUUUGGAGCUAUGGUUAGCAUAUGUCUAUUAGUACAUCAUUGUAGAACCAGGAAAUACAAGGAUCAUUUGUUGGUUGAUGAUUUGCCACUAAUGAGUGUUGAACACUGAAGUAACUCUAGGAAAAACAAGAAAAGCAUCAGAAAUGUAGAAAAACUGCAUGUAUAACUGAACUUUGAUGUAAAAAUUUUGGGUAACUCCAAGAAGCCCCUAUCACGUGCUUUUACCAUCCUAUGGAGAGGGAGCAUGGACACGGGGGUCGUCCCACAGUUACUAAAAACAACAGGCAGCCCCACUCCACAAAGGGGGCAGUAAAGCAAUAGCAAAGAACUACAGACCGAUAGCACUAACAUCCCAUAUCAUAAAAAUCUUUGAAAGAGUUCUAAGAAGCAAGAUCGCCACCCAUCUAGAUACCCUUCAAUUACACAACCCAGGGCAACAUGGGUUUAGAGCAGGUCGCUCCUGUCUGUCCCAACUACUGGAUCACUACGACAUGGUCUUAGAUGCACUAGAAGACAAAAAGAAUGCAGAUGUAAUAUAUACAGACUUUGCAAAAGCCUUCGACAAGUGUGACCAUGUCGUAAUAGCGCACAAAAUGCGUGCUAAAGGAAUAACAGGAAAAGUUGGUAAAUGGAUCUAUAAUUUCCUCAUAAACAGAACACAAAGAGUAGUAGUCAACAGAGUAAAGUCUGAGGCGGCUAUGGUGAAAAGCUCUGUUCCACAAGGCACAGUACUCGCUCCCCUCUUGUUUCUCAUCCUCAUAUCUGACAUAGACAAGGAUGUCAGCCACAGCACCGUGUCUUCCUUUGCAGAUGACACCCGAAUCUGCAUGACAGUGUCCUCCAAUGCAGACACUGCAAGGUUCCAGGUGGACAUCAACCAAAUCUUUCAAUGGGCUGCAGAAACAAUAUGAAGUUCAACGAUGAGAAAUUUCAAUUACUCCGAUAUGGUAAACAUGAGGAAAUUAAAACUUCAUCAGAGUACAAAACAAAUUCCGGCCACAAAAUAGAGCGAAAAACCAAUGUCAAAGUCCUGGGAGUGAUCAUGUCGGAGGAUCUUACCUUCAAUGACCAUAACAUUGUAUCGAUCGCAUCUGCUAGAAAAAUGACAGGAUGGACAAUGAGAACCUUCAAAACUAGGGAUGCCAAGCCCAUGAUGACACUCUUCAGGUCGCUUGUUCUAUCUAGGCUGGAAUAUUGCUGCACACUAACAGCACCUUUCAAGGCAGGUGAAAUUGCUGACCUAGAAAAUGUACAGAGAACCUUCAUGGCACGCAAUAACGGAGAUAAAACACCUCAAUUACUGGGAGCGCUUGAAGUUUUUGAACCUGUACUCCCUGGGGGUGUUACCCCCCGGAACUCUCCCCAGGUAAUCUCCAGGUAAACUGUGUUAGAACAGAUUCCUGAUGAACAAUUCCCACUCAAAGAUUUCAUUCUGAUACACAAAAAAUUGCAACAAUGCACUAAAAACAUGACAGAAAAUGCUCAUCUGACUGCAGUGGAAUGACCAACCGCACUGAAACUCGCCACGCUACUUCAUAAAUAGUAUACUGCACAGCACAAUCUAUGCUUAUGCUGUAUUUCAACUAGGAGGAGCAUGAACAUUUGAGUCAGAAUCUUUCUGCGAGCACCUCGUAUCUUAACUGUUUGAGAGAAGAUGCUUGUCUUUAGAUGAUCAGUAUUACCAGCUCCAGAUUCCAACAUUCUUUCCUCAUCUUCAGUAUCUAGUGUCACAACUAUUAUACUGGUAUUUAACAAAUAAUUAAGAUCGUUUAUAAUUGUAUUGUAUUGCUGCUUUGUUUGGUGCACAAGUAGAAGACCAGUUACUGCUUUGUACUGUCCUUGUCCUGUAAUGGCAGAGAGUUUGUGCCAACCAUUUUUGAUAUUGUUUUAAUGUCACCUUUGCACCAUUUAUAACAUUUUUAGUAUAUUUUUAAAUGUUUAUACAGUAGUGUACUGUAUAUUGUAAUAAACAGACUAGAGGAAAUCAGCUCUAAUAUACAUUAUUUAGGUAUGCAUACUGAUCGGAGAGCCUGUCGUAAGUCCAAGUCGUCGGUAAACGAGUAUGUUGCUAAGUGAUGAGAGACUAUACGUACAUAAAUGGCUGAAAGCUACUAACAGGAGACCAUACAUAGUUUUAAGUUAGUGUAAAGAGAAACAUGCACGGAAGUUCCAUAUCAGUAGAAAAAUACGUUUAUUUUACAAGAAGAUACAGGUGCGCUGCAGAGAUUGCUUACAUUGGUUGUGUAAUACAUGGCAAUGCCCUUGGUUGUGCAAUGAAUUUUGGGCAAACUUAAAAUUAAAACCUGACAUUGAAUAUUUAAAGGAUUAUGUGAAUACCAAGUUCACCAUAAUUAAGUUUUAUGUUUAAUUCACAUUAAGCACUAAACCCAUGUGGGUCAUUCAGUGUAAGACAUGGUGGAGGUUUCAUCUUCCAUCUAAUGAGUAUGAGACAGACACACUUCCUAUUUGUAUUCACAUAUAAGUGAAUUAAGUUAUCGUAUACAAUGAUUAUUAUGUAAUAAAGUAACAAUGUUAAUAUGAAGGAACAGUAACACAAAACAGCAUUGAGAGCUGUAGCCAUAAAAUUUUUUGAGGGGCUAGGAAUUAAAGUAAGAGACAAAAAUGGUGAAUGAAUAGAGACCCCCUAUGUGAUUAUAUUUUUGAAAACUCACGAAUGUUCUGUAUGUUAUUUUGUUGCUCGAUUUGACAGUGACUGUAAUGUAUUAUCAGAUUUAAUGUUGAUGGUUACUUCUCACGUGAUUAUUUUUUUUGUUACCUGGUAUGUAUUUGUAGCUACAGGAGCUUGUGCUGUCUUCAGUACUUAAUCUAUCAUUAAGUUUUUGUAGCAGGGAUUAUUGCACUUUCUACCUUUUGUAUACCAUAUAGACUAAUGUUGUAUAUACAGUGGACCCCAGAGUUUCAUGAUUAAUCCGUUCCAGAGAGCCUGCCGAAAGUCGAAAUUCACGAAACUCGAAACCAUUUUCCCCAUAAGAAAUAAUGGAAAUAAAAUUAAUCCGUUCCAGACACCCAAAAAUAUUAAAAUAAAAUAUUUCUUUUCAAAUUAAAUAAAGAUUUAUAUACUGAAAUCAACGAGAAAUCAAGUACAGGUCUCCCUCAACAUUCACGUUUUCAGCUUUCGCGGGCUUCACACAUUCGCGAAUUCCCAACCGCCAAAUUCCCAACCGCCAAAUUCCCAGCCGCCAAAUCAUAUUCAAGUUUCCCGCCACCUGCGAGUCCCUACUACCCUCCCUCCUACCCCCGCAACUGGCAGCCAGCCCUCCCACCACUCAGUGUGGUGAGUGUUUUGUUUGUUCAUUAUUUGCUAUUAAACUGCAGUAUAAAUAAUGUAAACCCAUUCAUGACUGCAUAUUGGAAUGGUUAUUCGGACAGGUAUUAGACGGUGACAUGUGUUUACUCUUGAACACAGCAAAGAAUCAAACAUUUCUGCUACUGCUAAUAAUAACAAUAGUAAUAAUAAUAAUAAUAAUAAUAAAUACGAUAUAAUUGAAGAAGGAAGUUGUACAAAAAUACGAGGGAGUGGUUGACACAUCGUCAGUGUGGCUUUGUUUAUGCUGGAGUGAGCAUUAGUCUCCCUGCUCUUCCAAAUAUUUCACAAUAAUUCAUUGUGUUUGGUACUUGUAGAUUGAGUGCGACUGGAGUGGUAGAGGCAGCUGUUGAGGCAGCUGUUGAGGCAGCUGUUGAGGCAGCGAUUGAGGCAGCUGUUGAGGCAGCGAUUGUGGCAGUGGGUGAGGCAGCGAUUGUGGCAGUGGGUGAGGCAGCUGUUGAGGCAGUGGUUGAGGCAGCUAUUGAGGCAGCUGUUGAGGCAGCGAUUGAGGCAGUGGUUGAGGCAGCUAUUGAGGCAGUGGGUGAGGCAGCUGUUGAGGCAGCGAUUGAGGCAGUGGGUGAGGCAGCUAUUGAGGCAGUGGGUGAGGCAGCUGUUGAGGCAGCGAUUGAGGCAGUGGUUGAGGCAGCUAUUGAGGUAGUGGGUGAGGCAGCUGUUGAGGCAGCGAUUGAGGCAGUGGGUGAGGCAGCUAUUGAGGCAGUGGGUGAGGCAGCUGUUGAGGCAGCGAUUGAGGCAGUGGGUGAGGCAGCUGUUGAGGCAGUGCAUGAGGCAGUGCAUGAGGCAGUGCAUGAGGCAGCUGUUGAGGCAGCGAUUGAGGCAGCUGUUGAGGCAGAGAUUGAGGCAGCUGUUGAGGCAGCGAUUGAGGCAGUGGGUGAGGCAGUGCAUGAGGCAGCUGUUGAGGCAGCAAUUGAGGCAGCUGUUGAGGCAGCGAUUGAGGCAGUGGUCACUGAGGCAGCUGUUGAGGCAGCGAUUGAGGCAGUGGGUGAGGCAGCUGUUGAGGAAGCGAUUGAGGCAGCUGUUGAGGCAGCUGUUGAGGCAGCUGUUGAGGCAGCGAUUGAGGCAGUGGGUGAGGCAGCUGUUGAAAAACAAAUAAGCUCGCUCGCUGUAAUGGUGGCCGCGGCGGUGGCGGCGGCUGCAGUGGCGGGCGCGCCCGCGGCAGCUGCUGCGACGAGUCUAAGAGUAAAAAAAAAAAUCCGAAACAGAAAAUAAUAAUAGGCAAUAAUAAACUCCCGCCGGAAAUACUUUUAUCUUUAAUAUCAAGAAAAAACAUUGAGGAAGCGAUUGAGGCAGCUGUUGAGGCAGCUGUUGAGGCAACUGUUGAAGCAGCGACUGAGGCAGUGGGUGAGGCAGCUGGUGAGGAAGCGAUUGAGGCAGUGGUAUUUAAUAACAUACAUGUUUAAUAACAUACAUUGUGUUUAGUGCUUGUAGAUUGAGUGUGACUGGAGUGGUAGAGGCAGUGAUUGAGGCAAUGGUAUUUAACCCUUUGAGGGUUUUCGUCGUACUAGUACGUCUUACGCGUAGGGGUUUUUGACGUACUAGUACUCAUAAAUUCUAGCGGCCUCAAAUCUAGUGGGAGAAAGCUGGUAGGCCUUCAUAUGAAAGAAUGGGUCUAUGUGGUCAGUGU